UAAACAUAGAAAAAUAGCAAAUUAGAGACAGUGGGUAUUAACAAUUGCAUAUAUCACAAUAAAUGUAUGUUUAAUCUCAGGAAUGCAUGGCAGUUCUAUCUUUAGAAAAUGUAUUUUUUGUAUUUUUAUCAAUUUAGAGAUGCCCUUUUGAAAAAACGUAUUACAAAUUGGAAUGUUCAAAGGGCAGCUGUUUUAUUUUCAUCCUUGCUGAAACAUAAAAUAAUGACAUGUUUUAAAAUUGAUAGAAUCUUUGAUUUGAUCAAAUAUGGUAAUGUAAUUUGCCAUUCUAACAGAUCAAAAUCAGAAUCAGUAUGAUCAUCUAUCUUGAUUUGCAAGAAGCAUUUGAUAAAAUGCAAAAUCCAUUUAUGAAAAAGCUCUUGGCAAAGGAGAAACAGCAAAGAAUUUUUAAAAUAUAAAGGGUGUGUACAAAACUGUAGUGACCACCUUACUGAAAGGUCAAACUUGUUCCCUUUCAGCUUGAGAAUAGGACAGAGCUUCAUAUUAAGACCACCACAUCUACUCAUCUUUGAGCUGGUGAUUCUCACCAACACAUCUAAGCAUGAAAGGAAUAAAAAUUAUAAGAUAAAAAGGAAACAAAACUCUCAUUACUUAAAGAUGAUAUAAUUACAUAGAAAAUCAAGAAGAUUCCAUGGAUAGGCUUCCCGAAAAACAAUAUGUAACAUACCAGCAACAAAUGGUAAGAAAAACAGGUUGUUUUUUUUUCUUAAAGUACAUUUUCAGUGACAUUAAAUAAUAAGGAUUCAGGAAUACAAUGAAUAUAACAAAAAUCUAAGCUAUCUAGGAAUGCAUAUAACAAAAAAAUUAUAAAGCUUCAUUUAAAACAUUUUUAAACAAAAUAAGUAGAAAGUAAUACCAUCUUUGUGGAACAGAGUCAGUAUUGUAAAUGUGUCAGUUUUCUUCAACUGGCCCAUAGACAACACAAUUUUAACUAAAAUUCCAAUUGGGAUUUCUGUGGAACUUGAUUAGUUAGGGCCAAAAGUAAUCAAGAUAUUCGUGAGGAAGGAUAACAGAAUGGCAAAACUUGCUUUAAUAAUUUGUGCAGGGAUAGACAAAUACUGUACACCAGUCUCUCAAUAGGGAGAUCAAAACCAAAUUCACAGACAUGAAAAGUCGAUUUAUGACAGAUGAUGUUGCAGUCCCUGGGGAAAGAAUGGAAAUGGUGCUAGAAUAAUUGGUUUAUAUAUGUGUUUCUAUAUAUGUAUAUGCCAUUACAUUAAAGUCAAUGCCUGUGGAGUUUGGGAGGAGUGAUCAAAAUGUUCUGGAAUUAGAUGUGAUGUUUGCACAACUCUGUGAAUAUACUAAGAACCACUGAAUUGUAUAUUUUUAAAGCAUGGUAUGUGAAUAAUAUCUCAAUAAAGCUGUUAUAAAAAAUAUUUUAAAAA
rnacentral:lncRNA from 1 species